GAUGCCAGGGUCAAAAGGUCUAAGCCCACAUGAGCUUGCUCAUAAGUGGGUGAAAGACCUUAGGACCCGCCCCGAUAUGAGCAUAAAAGUGGGAUGAUAAUCCCACGAUAUGCGAAUAUUGGGUAGGAUUGUGGGAGUGCGUAGCACGGAACAAUCCGUAGGCAUC
rnacentral:sRNA from 2 species